rnacentral:rRNA from 1 species
GACGAACGCUGGCGGCGUGCUUAACACAUGCAAGUCGAACGAUGAAGCCGGAGCUUGCUCUGGUGGAUUAGUGGCGAACGGGUGAGUAACACGUGAGUAACCUGCCCUUGACUCUGGGAUAAGCGUUGGAAACGACGUCUAAUACCGGAUACGAGCUAGGACCGCAUGGUCACUAGCUGGAAAGAAUUUCGGUCAAGGAUGGACUCGCGGCCUAUCAGUUAGUUGGUGAGGUAACGGCUCACCAAGACGACGACGGGUAGCCGGCCUGAGAGGGUGACCGGCCACACUGGGACUGAGACACGGCCCAGACUCCUACGGGAGGCAGCAGUGGGGAGUAUUGCACAAUGGGCGCAAGCCUGAUGCAGCAACGCCGCGUGAGGGACGACGGCCUUCGGGUUGUAAACCUCUUUUAGCAGGGAAGAAGCGCAGGUGACGGUACCUGCAGAAAAAGCACCGGCUAACUACGUGCCAGCCGCCGCAGUAACAC